UACGUAGGGUGCAAGCGUUAAUCGGAAUUACUGGGCGUAAAGCGUGCGCAGGCGGUGAUGUAAGACAGAUGUGAAAUCCCCGGGCUCAACCUGGGAACUGCAUUUGUGACUGCAUCGCUGGAGUGCGGCAGAGGGGGAUGGAAUUCCGCGUGUAGCAGUGAAAUGCGUAGAUAUGCGGAGGAACACCGAUGGCGAAGGCAAUCCCCUGGGCCUGCACUGACGCUCAUGCACGAAAGCGUGGGUAGCAAACAGG
rnacentral:rRNA from 1 species